rnacentral:rRNA from 1 species
GACGAACGCUGGCGGCGUGCUUAACACAUGCAAGUCGAACGGUGAAGCGCCUUCCUUUUUGGUGGGUGUGGAUGAGUGGCGAACGGGUGAGUAACACGUGAGUAACCUGCCCCCUUCUUCUGGAUAACCGCAUGAAAGUGUGGCUAAUACGGGAUAUUCUGGGUCUGUCGCAUGAUGGGUCUGGGAAAGAUAUUGUUUCGGUGGGGGAUGGGCUCGCGGUCUAUCAGCUUGUUGGUGGGGUGAUGGCCUACCAAGGCGGUGACGGGUAGCCGGCCUGAGAGGGUGGACGGUCACACUGGGACUGAGACACGGCCCAGACUCCUACGGGAGGCAGCAGUGGGGAAUAUUGCACAAUGGGCGCAAGCCUGAUGCAGCGACGCCGCGUGAGAGAUGGAGGCCUUCGGGUUGUGAACCUCUUUCGCCAGUGAAGCAGGCCUGCCUCGUUUGUGGGUGGGUUGACGGUAGCUGGAUAAGAAGCGCCGGCUAACUACGUG